AUGUGGGAGGAAUGCUUGCCUCAUAUUGAAUUUGCUUAUAAUCGUUCAUUGCAUUCUACUACUAAGAUGUGCCCUUUUGAAGUUGUGUAUGGUUUCCUACCUCGUGCACCUAUUGAUUUGUUGCCUCUUCCAUCUUCGGAGAAGGUUAAUUUUGAUGCUAAACAACGUGCUGAAUUAAUUUUAAAAAUGCAUGAGUUAACUAAGGAAAACAUUGAGCGUAUGAAUGCUAAAUAUAAACUUGCUGGAGAUAAGGGUAGAAAACAUGUUGUGUUUGCACCUGGAGAUCUUGUUUGGUUACAUUUGCGUAAGGAUAGAUUCCCUGAUUUGCGCAAAUCAAAGCUAAUGCCACGUGCUGAUGGUCCCUUUAAGGUGUUAGACAAAAUAAAUGAUAAUGCAUAUAAACUUGAGCUGCCUGCAGAUUUUGGGGUUAGUCCCACUUUUAAUAUUGCAGAUUUGAAGCCUUAUUUGGGUGAGGAAGAUGAACUUCCGUCGAGGACGACUUCAUUUCAAGAAGGGGAGGAUGAUGAGGACAUCAAUACAAUUGUUACACCCACAGCCCCUGCUGCUAUACAUACUGGACCAAUUACUAGAGCUCGUGCACGCCAACUAAAUUACCAGGAAACAGACCCUCGUGGUCAGGUUGAUCGUGCUCCGGCGUGGUCAAUAACCUCUCGGAGUUGGUUUAGCGAUUGCUAA
rnacentral:rRNA from 1 species